rnacentral:rRNA from 1 species
AUGAACGCUGGCGGCGUGCCUAAUCCAUGCAAGUCGAGCGAACAGAUGAGGAGCUUGCUCCUCUGACGUUAGCGGCGGACGGGUGAGUAACACGUGGAUAACCUACCUAUAAGACUGGGAUAACUUCGGGAAACCGGAGCUAAUACCGGAUAAUAUAUUGAACCGCAUGGUUCAAUAAUGAAAGACGGUUUUGCUGUCACUUAUAGAUGGAUCCGCGCCGCAUUAGCUAGUUGGUAAGGUAACGGCUUACCAAGGCAACGAUGCGUAGCCGACCUGAGAGGGUGAUCGGCCACACUGGAACUGAGACACGGUCCAGACUCCUACGGGAGGCAGCAGUAGGGAAUCUUCCGCAAUGGGCGAAAGCCUGACGGAGCAACGCCGCGUGAGUGAUGAAGGUCUUCGGAUCGUAAAACUCUGUUAUUAGGGAAGAACAAAUGUGUAAGUAACUAUGCACGUCUUGACGGUACCUAAUCAGAAAGCCACGGCUAACUACGUG